AACCAGACUGACACACCGACUGUCUGGACUCAAUAGACUCUGCUAGUGGUAGGUCCAUUUCAGACUGACACACCGACUGUCUGGACUCAAUAGACUCUGCUAGUGGUAGGUCCAUUUCAACCAGACUGACACACCGACUGUCUGGACUCAAUAGACUCUGCUAGUGGUAGGUCCAUUUCAACCAGACUGACACACCGACUGUCUGGACUCAAUAGACUCUGCUAGUGGUAGGUCCAUUUCAGACUGACACACCGACUGUCUGGACUCAAUAGACUCUGCUAGUGGUAGGUCCAUUUCAACCAGACUGACACACCGACUGUCUGGACUCAAUAGACUCUGCUAGUGGUAGGUCCAUUUCAACCAGACUGACACACCGACUGUCUGGACUCAAUAGACUCUGCUAGUGGUAGGUCCAUUUCAACCAGACUGACACACCGACUGUCUGGACUCAAUAGACUCUGCUAGUGGUAGGUCCAUUUCAACCAGACUGACACACCGACUGUCUGGACUCAAUAGACUCUGCUAGUGGUAGGUCCAUUUCAACCAGACUGACACACCGACUGUCUGGACUCAAUAGACUCUGCUAGUGGUAGGUCCAUUUCAACCAGACUGACACACCGACUGUCUGGACUCAAUAGACUCUGCUAGUGGUAGGUCCAUUUCAACCAGACUGACACACCGACUGUCUGGACUCAAUAGACUCUGCUAGUGGUAGGUCCAUUUCAACCAGACUGACACACUGACUGUCUGGACUCAAUAGACUCUGCUAGUGGUA